CAAUAGCGUAUAUUAAAGUUGUUGCGGUUAAAAAGCUCGUAGUUGGAUUUCUGCUGAGAACGACCGGUCCGCCCUUUGGGUGUGUAUCUGGCUCUUUCUUGGCAUCUUCUUGGUGAACGUUGCUGCACUUGACUGUGUGGAGCGCUACCCAGGACUUUUACUUUGAGGAAAUUAGAGUGUUUCAAGCAGGCAUACGCCUUGAAUACAUUAGCAUGGAAUAAUAAGAUAGGACCUCGGUUCUAUUUUGUUGGUUUCUAGAGCUGAGGUAAUGAUUAAUAGGGAUAGUUGGGGGCAUUCGUAUUUAACUGUCAGAGGUGAAAUUCUUGGAUUUGUUAAAGACGGACUACUGCGAANGNAUUUGUNAAGGAUGUUUNCAUUG
rnacentral:rRNA from 1 species